AAUGGAGGAGUGUUCCUCUUUCUCCACAUCCUCGCCAGCAUCUGCUGUCACCUGAAUUUUUGAUCUUAGCCAUUCUGACUGGUGUGAGGUGGAAUCUCAGGGUUGUUUUGAUUUGCAUUUCCCUGAUGAUUAAGGAUGUUGAACAUUUUUUCAAGUGCUUCUCUGCCAUUCGGUAUUCCUCAGGUGAGAAUUCUUUGUUCAGUUCUGAGCCCCAUUUUUUAAUGGGGUUAUUUGAUUUUCUGAAGUCCACCUUCUUGAGUUCUUUAUAUAUGUUGGAUAUUAGUCCCCUAUCUGAUUUAGGAUAGGUAAAGAUCCUUUCCCAAUCUGUUGGUGGUCUUUUUGUCUUAUUGACGGUGUCUUUUGCCUUGCAGAAACUUUGGAGUUUCAUUAGGUCCCAUUUGUCGAUUCUCGAUCUUACAGCACAAGCCAUUGCUGUUCUAUUCAGGAAUUUUUCCCCUGUGCCCAUAUCUUCGAGUCUUUUCCCUACUUUCUCCUCAAUAAGUUUCAGUGUCUCUGGUUUGAUGUGGAAUUCCUUGAUCCACUUAGAUUUGACCUUAGUACAAGGAGAUAGGAAUGGAUCAGUUGGUAUUCUUCUAUAUGUGAUCUGCCAGUUGUGCCAGCACCAUUUGUUGAAAAUGCUGUCUUUUUUCCACUGGAUGUUUUUUAGCUCCUUUUGCAAAGAUCAAGUGACCAUAGGUGUGUGGGUUCAUUUCUGGGUCUUCAAUUCUAUUCCAUUGGUCUACUUGUCUGUUGCUAUACCAGUACCAUUCAAUUUUGUUUUGUUUUGUUUUUUAUCACAAUUGCUCUGUAGUACAGCUUUAGGUCAGGCAUGGUGAUUCCAACAGAGGUUCUUUUAUCCUUGAGAAGAGUUUUUGCUAUCCUAGGGUUUUUGUUAUUCCAGAUGAAUUUGCAGAUUGCUCUUUCUAAUUCGUUGAAGAAUUGAGUUGGAAUUUUGAUGGGGAUUAAAUUGAAUCUGUGGAUUGCUUUUGGCAAGACAGCCAUUUUUACUAUAUUGAUCCUGCCAAUCCAUGAGCAUGGGAGAUCUUUCCAUCUUCUGAGAUCCUGAAGAAAUCCAGAACACCAUCAGAAGGCUAUACUCAACAAAACUAGAAAACCUGGAUGAAAUGGACAAAUUUCUAGACAGAUACCAGGUAGCAAAGUUAAAUCAGGAUCAGGUUAAUGAUCUAAACAGUCCUAUAUCCCGUAAAGAAAUAGAAGCAGUCACUAAGUCUCCCAACCAAAAAAAGCCCAGGACCAGAUGGGUUUAGUGCAGAGUUCUAUCAGACCUUCAAAGAAGAUCUAAUUCCAGUUCUGCACAAACUAUUCCACAAAAUAGAAGCAGAAGGCACUCUACCCAAUUCAUUCUAUGAAGCCCCAAUUACUCUGAUACCUAAACCAUAGAAAGACCCAACAAAGAUAGAGAACUUCAGACCAAUUUCCCUUAUGAAUAUCGAUGCAAAAAUCCUCAAUAAAAUUCUCGCUAACUGAAUCCAAGAACACAUCAAAACAAUCAUCCAUCCUGACUAAGUAGGUUUCAUUCCAGGGAUGCAGGGAUGGUUUAAUAUACGGAAAUCCAUCAGUGUAAUCAACUAUAUAAACAAACUUAAAGACAAAAACCACAUGAUCAUCUCGUUAGAUGCGGAGAAAGCAUUUGACAAAAUCCAACACCCAUUCAUGAUAAAAGUCUUGGAAAGAUCAGGAAUUCAAGGCCCAUACCUAAACGUGAUAAAAGCAAUCUACAGAAAACCAGCAGCCAACAUCAAAGUAAAUGGUGAGAAGCUAGGAUCAUUCGCACUAAAAUCAGGGACUAGACAAGGCUGCCCACUUUCUCAACAUUGUAUUUGAAGUCCUAGCCAGAGCAAUUCAACAACAAAAGGAGAUCAAAGGGAUACAAAUUGGAAAGGAAGAAGUCAAAAUAUCACUUUUUGUAGAUGAUAUGAUAGUAUAUAUAAGUGGCCCCAAAAAAUUCCACCAGAGAACUCCUAAACCUGAUAAACAGCUUCAGUGAAGUAGCUGGAUAUAAAAUUAACUCAAACAAGUCAAUGGCCUUUCUCUACACAAAGAAUAAACAGGCUGAGAAAGAAAUUGGGGAAACAACACCCUUCUCAGUAGUCACAACUAAUAUAAAAUACCUUUGUGUGACUCUAACUAAGGAAGUGAAAGAUCUGUAUGAUAAGAACUUCAAGUGUCUGAGGAAUAACAAUUUCUUAAUAGUCUUCUAGAAGUAUAUUAACAUUUUACUCUGUGCAAAUGAAGUCCCCAAGGUCCAUACUCAUUUUGAUGACAUGUCUUUUAGAUCUAUACAGUGCCUUCCUCUUCCCUUUCUCUGGUGAUUUUUGUGAAGAAUAAAGGGCAACCAUCACAUAAUUUUUCUCAGUAUUUCUCUUCUCAAAUAGAUUAGUCAAAGCCACUGUUUUAGGUGUGAGUUUCUGCUCUAGGCUUCUACAGGUCAGCACCACCCUCCCCCUCAUUGACACUUAAUGCUCAUUGAGCUGCAUCCUUGAAGAAGUAGAUCCCAAAAUAUGUCCAGUUUUCUUCUGAAAAUGAAAUUAUAACUUACAUAACUCUAGGUUAUAAAGGAGUUUUGCCAUAUUCUUUCCAUAAAAAGUAGCCUGACGUAACCAGAUGGAAAACAAUCAGUUUUCCUCUAUUGCUUUAUUGUCCUAUGGUACAGUUGGAGCUCUGAGGCUUUAGAAGAAUGAAAGUUGUCUCCAUACAUAAAUUAUGAAUUAAAGAUAAUUAUAUUUAUAGCUAAAUGAAUUAUUUUAUCUUUCAGAUACAUUUGAUCACUUGCACCUCUUGGUGUGCUUUAAUAAGUUCAUUUUUCCUCUGCAUUUCUCAAGUAAAUGGAAUCAGGAGACUUACAUUUGAGGAAAACAACAACAAAUUUGCCUUUUAAUAUUGCAAUAUAAUCAUAUCACUUCCAUUUCCCUUUUCUCCCUCUAACCUCCAACCCUGUUUUCUUUCAAAUUCAAGGUUUUGUUUUGUUUUUGUUUUUGUAUUUUUUUGCUUAUAUAUAUAUUCUAAGGAAGAACACAACAGUUGGUUAUUGAGUACCAAAUGUUCACCCCUGAAAACCCACAUACAAACAACAUUAUACAGAUGAGUGAAAUUGUGUUUGUGUAUUUAGGAAAACACACACACAUACAAAAAACUUUUUAAUUGAAAUUACAUAACUGCAUUGUUUCUGAGAGUUUCUACUGAGUUAUUUCUCUUUUUGAUUAAAUGUGAUCUAUUAGACUCUUUUAUUUAUUACAUUUCUUGUCGUUUUGCUUAAUGGUGUUGACAGUCAUUAGGUAUUUCUGCGUAGGCUCGUUAUUUCAUUAUUAUAAUUUUUGUGAAUUGGGACAUCCUGGCUAUGUGGACUAGGACUCUGAUGGGGUGAUGACCUCUGCAGAAGUAAACUUUUUCUUCUAAGACCCUGUAUUUGGCAUGGUGCCAGCAUGGGUAGGCGUCAAAAUUCAGCUGGACCAGGUUUCAAGACCUGUAUCUGAUACUGUGGUCAGAAUCUUGCCACUGUUAGAAUUUAGCUCUCAGCAGAUAUCUUUUCUAAAAGAUUUACUUUAUAUAUGUGAAGAUUUGUGUACCACAGUGUUAUAGAUGGUUUUGAUCUGCUUCCUUGCCCCAUGCCAACUGAGGGAGUGAGGAGAGUUGACCCUAGGGUCAUGAAAGUGGUGAGUUAGCCUUGCCCCUCACCAGCUACAGAACUUGGAAGAGCAGGCCCUAUGACUCACUUGGGCUUGUCCCUGGUUGAGGGCCAUGGGUGAGCCUGCCCUGAUGAUUUGAAAACAGAACUGGCCCAAACCCUUCACAGGCUAGAGUGCUUGGGAUAAUGGGCUAUACCUUCACUGGGCAGUACCGUGGAGCUGGCUCUGGAGGUGUGGUUUCAGAUG
rnacentral:lncRNA from 1 species